rnacentral:rRNA from 1 species
UACGGAGGGUGCAAGCGUUAAUCGGAAUUACUGGGCGUAAAGCGCACGCAGGCGGCUGAGUCAGUCGAUUGUGAAAGCCCUGGGCUUAACCUGGGAAUUGCAGUCGAUACUACUCAGCUAGAGUAUGGGAGAGGGUAGUGGAAUCCCCGGUGUAGCGGUGAAAUGCGUAGAUAUCGGGAGGAACAUCAGUGGCGAAGGCGGCUACCUGGCCCAGUACUGACGCUCAGGUGCGAAAGCGUGGGGAGCAAACAGG